rnacentral:rRNA from 1 species
UCCAGACUCCUACGGGAGGCAGCAGUGGGGAAUAUUGGACAAUGGGGGGAACCCUGAUCCAGCGACGCCGCGUGAGUGAAGAAGUAUUUCGGUAUGUAAAGCUCUAUCAGCAGGGAAGAAAGAAAUGACGGUACCUGACUAAGAAGCCCCGGCUAACUACGUGCCAGCAGCCGCGGUAAUACGUAGGGGGCAAGCGUUAUCCGGAUUUACUGGGUGUAAAGGGAGCGUAGACGGCGAUGCAAGUCUGAAGUGAAAGGCGGGGGCCCAACCCCCGGACUGCUCUUGGAACUGCGUGGCUGGAGUGCAGGAGGGGCAGGCGGAAUUCCUGGUGUAGCGGUGAAAUGCGUAGAUAUCAGGAGGAACACCGGUGGCGAAGGCGGCCUGCUGGACUGCAACUGACGUUGAGGCCCGAAAGCGUGGGGAGCAAACAGGAUUAGAUACCCCCGUAAUC